GGGGAAUAUUGCACAAUGGGCGCAAGCCUGAUGCAGCCAUGCCGCGUGUGUGAAGAAGGCCUUCGGGUUGUAAAGCACUUUCAGCGGGGAGGAAGGCGAUACGGUUAAUAACCGUGUUGAUUGACGUUACCCGCAGAAGAAGCACCGGCUAACUCCGUGCCAGCAGCCGCGGUAAUACGGAGGGUGCAAGCGUUAAUCGGAAUUACUGGGCGUAAAGCGCACGCAGGCGGUCUGUCAAGUCGGAUGUGAAAUCCCCGGGCUCAACCUGGGAACUGCAUUCGAAACUGGCAGGCUUGAGUCGUGUAGAGGGGGGUAGAAUUCCAGGUGUAGCGGUGAAAUGCGUAGAGAUCUGGAGGAAUACCGGUGGCGAAGGCGGCCCACUGGACAAAGACUGACGCUCAGGGGCGAAAGCGUGGGGAGCAAAC
rnacentral:rRNA from 1 species